rnacentral:rRNA from 1 species
GUGCUAAGGUAGCAUAAUAAUUUGUCUCCUAAUUUGAGAAUAGAAUGAAUGAAUAAACAAUAAGAAAACUGUCUCAUAUUUAUAAAUAAAAAUUUAUAUAGAGGUGAAAAAGCCUCUAUCCAUAAAAAAGACAAAAAGACCCUAGAAGCUUAAAAUAUUUAAAACUAAUAAAUAUUAUUUAGCUGGGAGGGCUUAAAGUAUAUAAAACACUUUAUAUUAAAAAGAUAUAAAUCAAUUUUAUUUAACCCCACUAAGAAUAUAAGUAAGCUACUCUAGGGGUAACAGGCUAAUGCUCCUUAAGAGUACAUAUUGACAGGAGUGUUUGGCACCUCGAUGUUGGCUUAGGAAACUUAUUUUAUGCAGAAGUAAAAUUAAGUGGUUUGUUCAACCUUUAAUAUCCUACGUGAUCUGAG